GAGUUUGAUCAUGGCUCACAUUGAACGCUGGCGGCAGGCCUAACACAUGCAAGUCGAGCGGUAACAUUUCUAGCUUGCUAGAAGAUGACGAGCGGCGGACGGGUGAGUAAUGCUUGGGAACAUGCCUUUAGGUGGGGGACAACAGUUGGAAACGACUGCUAAUACCGCAUAAUGUCUACGGACCAAAGGGGGCUUCGGCUCUCGCCUUUAGAUUGGCCCAAGUGGGAUUAGCUAGUUGGUGAGGUAACGGCUCACCAAGGCGACGAUCCCUAGCUGGUUUGAGAGGAUGAUCAGCCACACUGGAACUGAGACACGGUCCAGACUCCUACGGGAGGCAGCAGUGGGGAAUAUUGCACAAUGGGCGCAAGCCUGAUGCAGCCAUGCCGCGUGUGUGAAGAAGGCCUUCGGGUUGUAAAGCACUUUCAGUAAGGAGGAAAGGUUGGUGGUUAAUACCCAUCAGCUGUGACGUUACUUACAGAAGAAGCACCGGCUAACUCCGUGCCAGCAGCCGCGGUAAUACGGAGGGUGCGAGCGUUAAUCGGAAUUACUGGGCGUAAAGCGUACGCAGGCGGUUGAUUAAGCGAGAUGUGAAAGCCCCGGGCUCAACCUGGGAACUGCAUUUCGAACUGGUCAACUAGAGUGUGAUAGAGGGUGGUAGAAUUUCAAGUGUAGCGGUGAAAUGCGUAGAGAUCUGAAUGAAUAGCGAUGGCUACGCAGCACCUGUGUCAACACUGACGCUCAUGUACGAAAGCGAGGGUAGCAGACAGGACUAGAUGCCCUGUAGUCCACGCGUAAACUAUGUCUACUAGAGCUGGGGUCCUCCGACAACUUUUUCAACGCUAUCCAUCAAGUACACGUUCUGGAGGAGUACAGUCGGCAUGCUAGAUCUCAGCACUGGAGUCGAUCGCAGUCUCGCUCAGCCAGUCGACGUGCGUAGCUUAUCGCAUGCUACGUCGAAAUACUACCUGACCUGCGAUCUAACGCAGCGCUAGACAUGACUAGUGCGUGCGUAUCUGAGUACGGUCUGCAUGACAUGUCAUCAGCUCGAUCGUAACUCUGACUAAGUCUACAGCCAGCAUCUUCAUGCAAGAUAUGUCGGAACUGCACGGAAUUUGCGAGAUACACGUGAGCUACGCUUC
rnacentral:rRNA from 1 species